rnacentral:rRNA from 1 species
UACGUAGGGGGCAAGCGUUGUCCGGAAUCAUUGGGCGUAAAGAGCGUGUAGGCGGCCAGAUAAGUCCGCUGUGAAAUCUCGAGGCUCAACUUCGAGCUGUCGGUGGAAACUGUCUGGCUAGAGUCCGGAAGAGGAGAAUGGAAUUCCUGGUGUAGCGGUGAAAUGCGCAGAUAUCAGGAAGAACACCCGUGGCGAAGGCGGCUCUCUGGGACGGUACUGACGCUGAGACGCGAAAGCGUGGGGAGCAAACGGG